rnacentral:rRNA from 1 species
AUGAACGCUAGCGGCAGGCUUAACACAUGCAAGUCGAGGGGUAUAGGGAGCUUGCUUCCUAGAGACCGGCGCACGGGUGCGUAACGCGUAUGCAAUCUACCUUUUGCAGAGGGAUAGCCCAGAGAAAUUUGGAUUAAUACCUCAUAGUAUGUGAGAAUGGCAUCAUUUUCACAUUAAAGUCACAACGGCAAAAGAUGAGCAUGCGUCCCAUUAGCUUGUUGGUAAGGUAACGGCUUACCAAGGCAACGAUGGGUAGGGGUCCUGAGACGGGAGACUCCCCCACACUGGUACUGAGACACGGACCAGACUCCUACGGGAGGGCAGCAGUGAGGGAAUAUUGGACAAUGGGCGCAAGCCUGAUCCAGCCAUGCCGCGUGCAGGAUGACGGUCCUAUGGAUUGUAAACUGCUUUUGUACAGGAAGAAACACUGGUUCGUGAACCAGCUUGACGGUACUGUAAGAAUAAGGAUCGGCUAACUCCGUG